GACGAACGCUGGCGGCGUGCCUAAUACAUGCAAGUUGAGCGCUGAAGGUUGGUACUUGUACCAACUGGAUGAGCAGCGAACGGGUGAGUAACGCGUGGGGAAUCUGCCUUUGAGCGGGGGACAACAUUUGGAAACGAAUGCUAAUACCGCAUAAAAACUUUAAACACAAGUUUUAAGUUUGAAAGAUGCAAUUGCAUCACUCAAAGAUGAUCCCGCGUUGUAUUAGCUAGUUGGUGAGGUAAAGGCUCACCAAGGCGAUGAUACAUAGCCGACCUGAGAGGGUGAUCGGCCACAUUGGGACUGAGACACGGCCCAAACUCCUACGGGAGGCAGCAGUAGGGAAUCUUCGGCAAUGGACGAAAGUCUGACCGAGCAACGCCGCGGGAGUGCAGAAGGUUUUCGGAUCGUAAAACUCUGUUGGUAGAGAAGAACGUUGGUGAGAGUGGAAAGCUCAUCAAGUGACGGUAACUACCCAGAAAGGGACGGCUAACUACGUG
rnacentral:rRNA from 1 species